UUUUUGGUUUUUUUUUGAUAGA
rnacentral:sRNA from 1 species